CCGAGAGUUCAUAUCGACGGCAAGGUUUGGCACCUCGAUGUCGGCUCAUCACAUCCUGGGGGUGGAGAAGCUCCCAAGGGUCCGGCUGUUCGCCGGUUAAAGUGGUACGUGAGCUGGGUUCAGAACGUCGUAAGACAGUAGUUCAACGAACAAGCUGUCUAUAAAAUUGGCUAUAUGCUGGAAAAUCUGAGUAUCCCAGACUACUCCUUAAAAAAGUUAAAGAUUUUUGAAAGAAAAUCGCACCUACGGGUGUCUAUAUUAAGGGGUGAAAAUGUUAUGGGUGCAGGCAAUCAGCAGGAAAGGCCUAUUGAGAGUCUGAGCCAUUAUGUUGCAGGUUUUGUUGAUGGAGAAGGGACUUUUCAUGUUGCGAUACAAAGACGUAAGGAUUUGUCGAAAGGAUUUCAGUUAAUCCCUGAAUUCCAUGUCUCGCAGCAUAGAGAGAAAACCCUUAUUUUAGAGAAGAUCAAGGGUUUCUUUGGAUGUGGUUAUGUAAAACCAAAUCAUCCAGGAAGUUCCCGAGAUCUUACUAAUGUAUAUAUUGUAAGAAAUCGACAAGACCUAUUGAAAAAGAUAAUUCCUUUCUUUGAAAGAUACCCAUUGAUUUCAGAGAAGCAACAGGACUUUCAGAAGUUUGCGCAGGUUGUUAGAUCGAUGGAAAAAGGCAAACAUCUGACCAGAGAAGGGUUAAAAAAUCUUACAAGAUUAGCUUUUUCAAUGUAUGGUAAUGGCAGGUACAGGAAGUUAAAAUUAGAAACAGUGCUCUCAUUAAUGGAAUCCUCAGAGACUGUACGCCAAUUGCCGAAAGGCAAAGAUACAGUCCGAGCUGCAUGGCGACAUGCAGAGGCUAACAGAAAUGAUUAGCCCUCCGCCUAAGGCGGAAGUAACAAAACUGUCGGUCUCUAUCUAUUACACGCGUAGGAUGUUUGAGGAGAUAUGUCCCUAGUACGAAAAGUGCUACUGAUAAGGGUAACUUUAUCAGAUGAUCCAACUAAUAACGGUGAAGCCCUAAUUCAACACUGAUCCAAUCCUCGGAAAGUAGCCCUAACAGGCGAUGGUUGAAAGGGUAAUAUCGUGGGAAGAUUGGAGUUUUCAUGGACAAUGUCACUAAGGCUUAUAUCGCAGGAUUUCUUGAUGGCGAUGGCAGUAUUAUGCUGCAGAUCAAACCAAGAACGACCUGUAGGUAUAAGUAUAGAAUAACCUCUACAAUUUGCAUGUAUCAACGUAAAGACCAGGAAAAGGGUUUAAAGUGGAUACAAUGUCAACUAAAACUUGGCUAUGUGUCAAGGCGUAACGAUGGUAUGUCAGAGUACAGAAUAGAUGGGCAUAAACGUGUCAUUGAAGUACUCAAGGUGCUUGAGCCGUAUCUCGUAUUUAAAAAGGCUCAGGUGAAACAUAUUCUUCGUGCUGCAAAGCUUUUGCAGAAACGAAACUUGACACCCAAAGAGUUUUUGCUGGUUUGCAAAUUGAGUGACAGAAUUAGUUCAUUUAAUCAUUCAGUUUCUAGAAAAAAUACUUCUGAAACAGUCAGAAGGGAUUUUCAGAAACGAAAACUUCUUUCCCCGUAACGACUGAGGUCAUUAGACCGAGAUGGCGAUCUUGAAGUAAAUCCUAAUCGCCAUAAUACGUUGGCCCCAGUGCUAAUUUUAGAAAAGUUAGCGUUGGGUGAAGAUAUAGUCUAAUCCUCGUAGAAAUACGAGACUUGAUUGACGAGAGGACCGGGAUAUACGAACCAAUGGUGUUCCAGUUGUCGCGCCAGCGGCAGUUGCUGGGUAGCUAAGUUCGGAAAGGAUAAGCGCUGAAUGCAUAUAAGCGCCAAGCCCCCUCUAAGAUAAAACAUCCCUCCCUUCGGGGAUAAGGCACCUUGUAGAUGACGAGGUUGAUAGGCUGGAGGUGUAAGGCCAGUAAUGGCUUCAGCUGACCAGUACUAAUCUGCCGAACGGCUUGACCGC
rnacentral:rRNA from 1 species